CCAGCAAAAGUAGGGAGGAAAGUGUCACC
rnacentral:piRNA from 1 species